rnacentral:rRNA from 1 species
UACGUAGGUGGCGAGCGUUAUCCGGAUUUACUGGGCGUAAAGUGGGCGCAGACGGUCUGGUAAGUCAGAUGUAAAAUCUCUCGGCCUAACCGGGUGGUUGCAUUUGAUACUGUCAGACUUGAGGACAACAGAGGGAGGUAGAAUUCCCGGUGUAGUGGUGAAAUGCGUAGAUAUCGGGAGGAAUACCAGUGGCGAAGGCGGCCUCCUGGGUUGUUUCUGACGUUCAUGCCCGAAGGUGUGGGGAGCAAAC